rnacentral:rRNA from 1 species
GUGGGGAAUAUUGGACAAUGGGCGAAAGCCUGAUCCAGCAAUGCCGCGUGAGUGAUGAAGGCCUUAGGGUUGUAAAGCUCUUUUACCCGGGAUGAUAAUGACAGUACCGGGAGAAUAAGCUCCGGCUAACUCCGUGCCAGCAGCCGCGGUAAUACGGAGGGAGCUAGCGUUGUUCGGAAUUACUGGGCGUAAAGCGCACGUAGGCGGCUUUGUAAGUUAGAGGUGAAAGCCUGGAGCUUAACUCCAGAACUGCCUUUAAGACUGCAUCGCUUGAAUCCAGGAGAGGUGAGUGGAAUUCCGAGUGUAGAGGUGAAAUGCGUAGAUAUUCGGAAGAACACCAGUGGCGAAGGCGGCUCACUGGACUGGUAUUGACGCUGAGGUGCGAAAGCGUGGGGAGCAAACAGGAUUAGAAACCCUAGUAGUCC